AGAAUCAACGCUGGCGGCGUGCCUCAGACAUGCAAGUCGAACGAUUAAAGCUCCCUUCGGGGAGUGCAUAAAGUGGCGCACGGGUGAGUAACACGUAAGUAAUCUACCCUCGGGUGGGGAAUAACAUCGGGAAACCGAUGCUAAUACCGCAUAAUGCAGCGGCACCGCAAGGUGACAGUUGUUAAAGAUUUAUUGCCUGGGGAGGAGCUUGCGGCAGAUUAGCUUGUUGGUAAGGUAACGGCUUACCAAGGCUACGAUCUGUAUCCGGUCUAAGAGGACGGUCGGACACACUGACACUGAAUAACGGGUCAGACUCCUACGGGAGGCAGCAGUCGGGAAUUUUGGGCAAUGGGGGAAACCUAGACCCAGCCAACGCCGACGUCGAAGGAUAGGAAGUA
rnacentral:rRNA from 1 species